UACGGAGGGGGCCAGCGUUGUUCGGAAUCAUUGGGCGUAAAGGGCGCGUAGGCGGCCGAGCAAGUCGGAUGUGAAAUACCCCGGCUCAACUGGGGAACUGCAUCCGAAACUGCUUGGCUUGAGUCCUGGAGAGGGUAGUGGAAUUCCCAGUGUAGCGGUGAAAUGCGUAGAUACUGGGAGGAACACCGGUGGCGAAGGCGGCUACCUGGACAGGUACUGACGCUGAGGCGCGAAAGCGUGGGGAGCAAACAGG
rnacentral:rRNA from 1 species